GGGCCCAACCCAUUUGGUCUCCAAGCACAACCCAUGCAUUGAAGCCCAACCCCUUUAUUUUCACCCCAACGGCGCUGUUUAGCCUCCAGCCCUUAGGGCAUUUCUCCAUUUUCUUUCCUUCUCUUUUUCCUUCUUCAGUGCCGCUACCUCCUUCCUUCUCUUUUCCAUUCGUUUUCUUCUUCUCCUCCUGCAAGCAGACAAAUUCUUCUUCUUUAUAUUUUUUCAGCUUCUUCUUCCUCUGUAAAUCAGUGGUUGCAACUCUCUUCCUUUUCUUUCAUUUUCAUAUUCUUUCCUCUGUUUUGUGUGCGGUACCGCUGCUCUUCUUCCCUUGCUUCUUCUUCAUUUCUUCUUCUCUUUUCUUCUGUCACCUACUGUUCAGUCCUUAUUGUGAGCCUCCAUGCCGUCUCUCUCUAUUUUUUUCCCUUGGUGUUUCCGAAAAUUUUAGCUUGUGAAACCCUUGCAUUUCCAUUUGUUUUCCCCACAAAUUGUGCCCUGUUUUAGCUCCCGAAAUCAUGCUCUAUUCUUGGCCAAAAUCGUGUGCCAAAGCUCUAGUUUCUUGCUUCUUUAUUCACCUCCAUUUCCACUUUUCCAUCCUCAAAUUGUGUGAUUUUAGUUCCCUAUUUUUUAGCCAACCCAUGCCCCUAUUUUUUAUCCCAAGCUGUGGACUUUGAUCUGAGUUUUGGGUGGGUUAUUUCCUCUACUGUAAGCCCCAUUUUCCAGCCAUUAUUCCCUUCAUUUUUACCUCUUGUAAAUCAGUUCUUUUUCCCAAAAAUAUCACCUAAAAUCCCCUUAUUUUCGAAACCCAUUUUCAGUCUAAAAAAUUGUGAUUUUUUGAGAUUUCUUUACAGGCUUGCUUUUGGCGUUAAACCAAGUGCAUGGGUGCUUGAAUUUCCAAAUUUUCCUUUUAAGCACUGUUGGGGGUGUCACACAGAGUAUGCAUAACGUGAUAUCACUAAUCCCCUGAUCGAUGUUUGUGGGUUGAGGAAAUAAGGACUUGGUGGCGAUAAUUUCGCACCAAGCAAAGUGUCAGCGUCCACGAGUUGUAAUCACUCCCACGACCAGCAUCUACCACAUUCAACCUCAAAAGACUCGGUUGGAGCUUUCAACACUGACUUUGUGUAAAUAUCUCUACCAAAUCUCUUAUCUCCCCUGUUUGAUUAUAUCGGUAAAAUAAAUGUGGGUCUUUCAUAGUAAAUCUGUGUAGAAUGGUUUCAAUAACCGUUUGGCAUUUCACAAUUUCUUCCUUAAUCAUCGUCAUCAUGUAUAGCCACCUAUUAUCUCAUUUGAUUUUAGGGAGACCCCAUUAAAGUAGUAGUCGAGGAUUUAAAUGGUUAUACAGUCUAUAUAAGGAAUGGGUCUGACAAUCUUGCUUCUGCUAAUAUACGAAUGACAGGUAAGAAAUUUCCAUCAAGUAAGGUGUGUGUAUAUAUAUUAAUUGGAGGAUAGAUUUAACAUUCUCUCAAUGCAAUUUCCUUAGUAUAGGCAUCCUCAUUUAAAUAAUCAGUUAUCUUGGACUAGAAAAAGCAGUACUGUGUAUUCUUCAAAGCAGUUGUGUGGGUGGGUGCACAGAUUAAUAUUGUUAGUUCAUUCUUGUGUAUUGUUAAAUUUUCUCUUCCAUGUAUGCUCAGAUGGUGAUUUAUGAACUCACACGCACUUAUGCUUGCUUAUAUGUGUGGAAAAUGGUCUUAAGUUCUAAAUCCAAAACAUGAGGCACCUACUUCAUUCUUCCAAUACAAUCAUUUCCAUUUACCUUCACUUCAAUCAAGUUAUCUUCAGCUUAAAUGUACUUAUAAAAAUAAAAUAAAAUCUUUAGCUUACAUGUAUUCUGUGUUCUUUAAACAGCAACACCAUACCAGAUUUAACAUAGGUGAACAUCUAAUUGAGUAUUGAAGUCCAAUGAAAGUAAACUCAAGUUUGGGAUAGAGGAUUAUUCACAAUUGUUUAGAUUAUGAUUGUGUAUGCCUGGCUGAUCUAUUCCUCUUUAUAUGUCAAAAUUCUUUUUUGAACUUUGAAAAUGGUAAUUGUGUUAUGUAUCGAUUUUUUUUUCUCAUAAAAGAAAUGUAUCCUAUUAUUUUUGCCUGUUAGUAUGCUCUGUUUGGCCAUUGAGAAAUAGUCUGAUUUCAUGAAAACAUUAUGCUUUGAUAUUUUUUGUGUUAUUUUUGCCUAGAGUAGAAAAUUGGUAUGUGAAACAGAAUCAAAGACUCCGUAAAAUGUUAUUUUUAUGUGCUGUUAUUUGCUUCCAAAAUGUGUAAUAAUUGAAAUAAAAGUAAAAAUUGAUUAAGAAACAGAAAGAUAUAAGAAUAGCAAACGUAUGAAAAAAAACUCAUGCAAAUUUAUUAUUAAAAAAAAAAAACUAGAAGACUUCUUUUAUCAGUAAGAAGUGGAAGACUUUUGAGUCUUGCAAAAUAUAUAUAAAUGAAUCUUCACAUUUCCACGACCAAAUACCCUUUUUUUUUAACUCCUGAGUUCAAUUUUUUAAUCUUAUAUAGGUAUGAUUUUUAAGAUUUUUUUUUAGCUAUAUAUAUUCAUUUUAAUAUUUUGGAGGUAAAAUUUUUGGACUUGAGAAAAACAUUGGGAAACUUUUUUUUUUUCAUACUUUUACAAAGCCUCAAUUUUCAUAUUUUUCAAAAAUAUCUAGAAGUUUUCAUAUUUGUUGGGAUCAAAUAUAUUUUCUCCCAAAUAAGUUAUUUGAAUUUAAAUAAUAUUUUCAAAUUUUCAAGGGAUGCUAGGGGGACCAUGGACAGAUUUGGUCUCAACAUAGUUCUACCAAUGCAUAGUCCCAAUGUGGGGCUGGGGUGUUACAUUGCUAGCUACAUGGUUGAGCCUAAUGUUCCUUUAGUGGUUUCAUUGGUUUAUUUUACUAUUUUGAAUUCCAUUGUCUUGGUAAAUUGUGUAAAUUCCAUGGACAUAAUAUUUACCCCUAUAAAAAAAAAAAAAUUAGUUUAACAAAUAAGGAUAUUAAGCUCUAUUGGAUAAAAGAGCUGCUUCAUAGGAGUGAUGAGACUUGAUGCCUACACUACCAGUAGUGCAUGUAGUGUGUGUAUAUAUUGUAACUGCCCUCCACUCCCCUUAUCAUUUGAUCCAAUUAGAGAUCAAGUUCGAUGUAUAAUCUUUAACAUCAUAAACAUCAUGAUCACCAUCAGUGUCAUUAAUAUUACUAUGUUAGUGUUAGUAUUGUUAUACUUGACUAGAUUUACUUUGACAAAAACAUUCUUAUUGGUUAUGCAGAUGCAAAUUCUGUUGUUCCAUGAGGAGUUAAAUUAUUGGAGUUAUUUGCAGUUUGUGUGGAUAUGAGGCAAGUUCCAUUAACUUAGAUGAAGUUUGGAUUGGUCAUGGUUGUGGUCAUUGACUCUAUAUGCUUGUAGUUAAAAUCUUACUUUACAUAAUUAUUGCAAGAGGAGCUUCAUUUUGUAUAUCAUAUGGUGCUCUUGGGUAGGGUGUGCAGACCAUCAUAUAGAAUUGUCUUGCAACAAUUACACUGAAAGAAUUUAAACAUUUGGUGCUCAACCAAGGAGUCAACAAA